AUCUGUUUUAUCUUUACAUAUCACUGGAUCCAUUUGAGGAAAGAAAGCGAGUACACUGUUCCGGAUCCUCCAUUGUAUUACUACUGUAUUUAAGGAAGACCUAUUCAGCUAAGACUCAUUUUAUUUCUAUUGGAUUUACUCUUUUAUAUUGGACUUAUUUUACUUGUUGUCUCAUUUUAUCCAUUGGUUUUUAUCUGGCGCAACUUUUUUUUACCUUUUUCUUCUUCCAUUUUAUUCUAAGGGUGUGAGGGAUUCCCUUUUAAAGUUGCUGCCUCAUCCUGUUAUUAAGCGCUAACUCUUUUUUCCUCUUUUGCAUGUCAAAAAGAGUUAUACAUUGAUUUGCAUGUCAAUGAGUGAAUUAAGUAUUUGAUCCCCUCUCAACCAGCAAAAUUUCUGGCUCCCAGGUGUCUUUUAUACAGGUAACUAGCGGAGAUGAGAAGCACUCUCUUAAAUGCAGUGCUCCAAAUCUCAGUUCAUUACCUGUAUAAAAGAAACCUGUUCACAGAAUCAAUCAGAUUCCAAACUCUCCACCAUGGCCAAGACCAAAAAGAGCUGUCCAAGGAUGUCAGGGAUAAGAUUGUAUACCUACACAAGGCUGGAAUGGGCUACAAGACCAUCACCAAACAGCUUGGUGAGAAGGUGACAGUUUGUGCAAUUAUUCGCAAAUGGAAGAAACACAAAAUAAGUCUUCCUCGGUCUGGUGCUCCAUGCAAGAUAUCACCUAGUGGAGCUUCAACGAUCAUGAGAAUGGUGAGGAAUCAGCCCAAAACUACACAGGAGCAUCUUGUUAAUGAUCAAGGCCUAG